rnacentral:rRNA from 1 species
AGUCGAGCGAGCGGUUUCGAUGAAGUUUUCGGAUGGAAUUGAAAUUGACUUAGCGGCGGACGGGUGAGUAACGCGUGGGUAACCUGCCUUACACUGGGGGAUAACAGUUAGAAAUGACUGCUAAUACCGCAUAAGCGCACAGGGCCGCAUGGUCUGGUGUGAAAAACUCCGGUGGUGUAAGAUGGACCCGCGUCUGAUUAGGUAGUUGGUGGGGUAACGGCCCACCAAGCCGACGAUCAGUAGCCGACCUGAGAGGGUGACCGGCCACAUUGGGACUGAGACACGGCCCAAACUCCUACGGGAGGCAGCAGUGGGGAAUAUUGGACAAUGGGCGAAAGCCUGAUCCAGCGACGCCGCGUGAGUGAAGAAGUAUUUCGGUAUGUAAAGCUCUAUCAGCAGGGAAGAAAAUGACGGUACCUGACUAAGAAGCCCCGGCUAACUACGUGCCAGCAGCCGCGGUAAUACGUAGGGGGCAAGCGUUAUCCGAAUUUACUGGGUGUAAAGGGAGCGUAGACGGUUAAGCAAGUCUGAAGUGAAAGCCCGGGGCUCAACCCCGGUACUGCUUUGGAAACUGUUUGACUUGAGUGCAGGAGAGGUAAGUGGAAUUCCUAGUGUAGCGGUGAAAUGCGUAGAUAUUAGGAGGAACACCAGUGGCGAAGGCGGCUUACUGGACUGUA